AUCAUGUUAUGUAUAAUCAGCUUGUGCCUCUGUGCUUUCAUCAACCAUGUUUUAGAAGGGAAAUAUUAACAUACAUAGAUAUUAAGCGAUCUGUGAGAAUGGCCUUGCCUACCAGCUAAUACAUAUGAUUAUAUUGUAAAUUUAUAGGCACUAUAUUGUGCGUAUGAAAGCUAGCAGAAAUCACUGUCAGAUUUGGUCAGAGGCAAUCAAAUAUUUUUCGGUGGCGACUAUAGAUAGACAAACGGAAUUCGGGCCGAAACUCAUCAACCUUGUACAACAGUAAAAAACGAUGCUCGAUAGUUUAAUCUACGCGCGUCGACGACUACAGAAGGCACUUGUCGAACGAACUAGGAACAAAGACGCCGAUACCUGUAGUGAUUCAACAUAGCUGACCUUUUACACAGCGACCUAACAAAUCUAAGGUUGCGGAGAAAAAAACAGAUGUCGUCGAUGUCACUCACUGGGUUACUGGCCCAGCUUUCCUGCUAUAGCGGACGGAACUUGUGUCCUCCUUGUCAGGUCUCAAUCGGUAAUUAUCAACCGGAUGUCUAAUCGAACAAGUAAGCGAAUGCCGGAUACUGUUUUCUCCUGUAGGACACUGGCAGCGCUAUAGGACGAGCCGAUACGAAUUACGCGAUACGUCGAUUACGCGUCAGGCAGAAAUAUUAGCAGGACUAUUAGUUGUUGUAAAUACAUACGUGUGAACGAAGCAAUAUUGGACCGUGACGGAUAACAGCGUCAUAUACUACGCAGACAAUGAAAGCAGGACAAGUCAAUCGUGAUUGAUAUAUAACGAUAACAGUAUAGCUCAAUUCCUAUGGACGAGCAUCUGCCAGCCACGUUGUGAUUACACAAUCGUCUUACGAUGAUGAUAACAAUAAGCCAAAUCUAGGAUAUUGGAGAAAUGGGUUGGCACCGGUGAUAGUUGAUUAGUACCGAAUCUCUUCCUUGAUUUUAUAUUCGUGUUGGGCGGAUCGAGUUAUUGUUCCGCUUAAUGGCUAAGGCGACCAUCUGCUUUUGGACAGAAGGAGACGACCUACACGCCCAUAUAGUUUGAUAAAUGGCUACCACCUUAGAAAUAAUGAGCCUGAUAAAAUGUUUUUUAAAAACCAGCAGUUCAAAUGACGUAUUGUAAUAGGAGCAAUGUUUGACAAUAGAUAGUUCAGGAGAAAAAUUCUAAGGUAUUAUUGAAAAGAUACCACUCCUGAUUCCGCUCUUGCGCAUACAUAAUUACAUGUUUCCAGCGGGUAAACGCGGUACAAUCUUAGCGAACUCGCACGUUAACAGUGUUUUAUCGGCCGCUAGUAUAUCCACCACGGUUCCGGUGCGUAUCCGCACAUUCUACUUUACAGUUACUGCAAAUGUUGGCUUGUCCGAUGUAUUUUAACAGGCCAGUAAAUGACUGAAUUAAAAGCGACACUGUGGCCUGUAGCUGAAAGAGCCGCUGA
rnacentral:lncRNA from 1 species